AUACUCAUAGCUACGCGCAAGAUAAAAGCCAGCACGUGACCAAUUUUCCCACAAGAAACGAGCGACACAGAUAACAAUAUUGCGCCUGGUAGCCGGCGAACGGUUCACGUCACACGUUAAAUCACGUUUCCGACUUUUAUUAUUAGUUUCCGCGCGCGUUCCUAAGAUACGUGACGUUUCAUAUUCCGCGUGCUUCCCACCUGCUCCACAUACAAAAUCAGCUUCAUAUUCAUUUGUAAAUUAUACGAUGCGAUGCGAAUGAUCAGCAUCUUGAUAUUUCGCAGUUCAACUGUUUCCAACCGAGAUCUGCGUUAUGACGAAAGUUCGGCAACACGACGAUCGAAAAAAAUUGGAAACUUUGAACAAAUGUAAUAUCCAACGACAAAUAAUGAGGAUGAAUCGCGUGUAAAAAAUUAAUUAGAAACGUACGUAUAUAUGGUGGAUUUAUUGCAUCGCGCGAUCAAAAAGGGAGAACAUGAAAGGGAGAAAAUAAAUAGAUAAAAUCCGCAAUGAAAGACAAAGCUUUCUUUAAUAAAUCCCUGUUUAAUCGAGAGAAUUUUAAUAUGCAAAUAAAAAAUCAAUAGAACGAUAUUAAAAAUUAAACAUUGUCGAUACGAAUCCUCUAUGCUUGCACAAAUACGAAAUUAUAUAUAUGAUUUAAUGUAUGUAAUUAGUAUAAUUGAAUUAAUAUAAAUAAUUUACACGAGCUACACUGCAAUUCGACAGAGGAUCACAGUCAGCGUUGUACGUUGCAGUUUUCGAUUUAUGUUCGAGGUUCAAAAAUU
rnacentral:misc_RNA from 1 species